CUGAGACUGGGUGCUCCGGCGCCCGACCUCCAACCCCCUGUCUACCUUACCACUGUUGCCUCGGCGUUUCCACCCGCCCCCCUCUCGUAGGGGUUCGCUGGGCGGUGCGCCGGCGGCCAAAACAACAAAACCCUUUUUUAAACCGAGCAAUCUGAGAAAUUAUUUUAAUAACUUCA
rnacentral:misc_RNA from 1 species